UUAAGUUAUUAAGGGCGCACGGUGGAUGCCUUGGCACUAGAAGCCGAUGAAGGACGUUACUAACGACGAUAUGCUUUGGGGAGCUGUAAGUAAGCUUUGAUCCAGAGAUUUCCGAAUGGGGAAACCCAGCAUGAGUUAUGUCAUGUUAUCGAUAUGUGAAUACAUAGCAUAUCAGAAGGCACACCCGGAGAACUGAAACAUCUUAGUACCCGGAGGAAGAGAAAGAAAAUUCGAUUCCCUUAGUAGCGGCGAGCGAAACGGGAAGAGCCCAAACCAACAAGCUUGCUUGUUGGGGUUGUAGGACACUCUAUACGGAGUUACAAAGGACGACAUUAGACGAAUCAUCUGGAAAGAUGAAUCAAAGAAGGUAAUAAUCCUGUAGUCGAAAAUGUUGUCUCUCUUGAGUGGAUCCUGAGUACGACGGAGCACGUGAAAUUCCGUCGGAAUCUGGGAGGACCAUCUCCUAAGGCUAAAUACUCUCUAGUGACCGAUAGUGAACCAGUACCGUGAGGGAAAGGUGAAAAGCACCCCGGAAGGGGAGUGAAAUAGAACCUGAAACCGUGUGCUUACAAGUAGUCAGAGCCCGUUAAUGGGUGAUGGCGUGCCUUUUGUAGAAUGAACCGGCGAGUUACGAUUUGAUGCAAGGUUAAGCAGUAAAUGUGGAGCCGUAGCGAAAGCGAGUCUGAAUAGGGCGUUUAGUAUUUGGUCGUAGACCCGAAACCAGGUGAUCUACCCUUGGUCAGGUUGAAGUUCAGGUAACACUGAAUGGAGGACCGAACCGACUUACGUUGAAAAGUGAGCGGAUGAACUGAGGGUAGCGGAGAAAUUCCAAUCGAACCUGGAGAUAGCUGGUUCUCUCCGAAAUAGCUUUAGGGCUAGCCUCAAGUGAUGAUUAUUGGAGGUAGAGCACUGUUUGGACGAGGGGCCCCUCUCGGGUUACCGAAUUCAGACAAACUCCGAAUGCCAAUUAAUUUAACUUGGGAGUCAGAACAUGGGUGAUAAGGUCCGUGUUCGAAAGGGAAACAGCCCAGACCACCAGCUAAGGUCCCAAAAUAUAUGUUAAGUGGAAAAGGAUGUGGCGUUGCCCAGACAACUAGGAUGUUGGCUUAGAAGCAGCCAUCAUUUAAAGAGUGCGUAAUAGCUCACUAGUCGAGUGACACUGCGCCGAAAAUGUACCGGGGCUAAACAUAUUACCGAAGCUGUGGAUUGUCCUUUGGACAAUGGUAGGAGAGCGUUCUAAGGGCGUUGAAGCAUGAUCGUAAGGACAUGUGGAGCGCUUAGAAGUGAGAAUGCCGGUGUGAGUAGCGAAAGACGGGUGAGAAUCCCGUCCACCGAUUGACUAAGGUUUCCAGAGGAAGGCUCGUCCGCUCUGGGUUAGUCGGGUCCUAAGCUGAGGCCGACAGGCGUAGGCGAUGGAUAACAGGUUGAUAUUCCUGUACCACCUAUAAUCGUUUUAAUCGAUGGGGGGGACGCAGUAGGAUAGGCGAAGCGUGCGAUUGGAUUGCACGUCUAAGCAGUAAGGCUGAGUAUUAGGCAAAUCCGGUACUCAUUAAGGCUGAGCUGUGAUGGGGAGAAGACAUUGUGUCUUCGAGUCGUUGAUUUCACACUGCCGAGAAAAGCCUCUAGAUAGAAAAUAGGUGCCCGUACCGCAAACCGACACAGGUAGUCAAGAUGAGAAUUCUAAGGUGAGCGAGCGAACUCUCGUUAAGGAACUCGGCAAAAUGACCCCGUAACUUCGGGAGAAGGGGUGCUCUUUAGGGUUAACGCCCAGAAGAGCCGCAGUGAAUAGGCCCAAGCGACUGUUUAUCAAAAACACAGGUCUCUGCUAAACCGUAAGGUGAUGUAUAGGGGCUGACGCCUGCCCGGUGCUGGAAGGUUAAGAGGAGUGGUUAGCUUCUGCGAAGCUACGAAUCGAAGCCCCAGUAAACGGCGGCCGUAACUAUAACGGUCCUAAGGUAGCGAAAUUCCUUGUCGGGUAAGUUCCGACCCGCACGAAAGGCGUAACGAUUUGGGCACUGUCUCAACGAGAGACUCGGUGAAAUCAUAGUACCUGUGAAGAUGCAGGUUACCCGCGACAGGACGGAAAGACCCCGUGGAGCUUUACUGUAGCCUGAUAUUGAAAUUCGGCACAGCUUGUACAGGAUAGGUAGGAGCCUUUGAAACGUGAGCGCUAGCUUACGUGGAGGCGCUGGUGGGAUACUACCCUAGCUGUGUUGGCUUUCUAACCCGCACCACUUAUCGUGGUGGGAGACAGUGUCAGGCGGGCAGUUUGACUGGGGCGGUCGCCUCCUAAAAGGUAACGGAGGCGCUCAAAGGUUCCCUCAGAAUGGUUGGAAAU
rnacentral:rRNA from 1 species